CCUACGGGUGGCAGCAGUGAGGAAUAUUGGUCAAUGGGCGCGAGCCUGAACCAGCCAAGUAGCGUGAAGGAUGACUGCCCUACGGGUUGUAAACUUCUUUUAUAAAGGACUAAAGUGAGGCACGUGUGCCUUUUUGUAUGUACUUUAUGAAUAAGGAUCGGCUAACUCCGUGCCAGCAGCCGCGGUAAUACGGAGGAUCCGAGCGUUAUCCGGAUUUAUUGGGUGUAAAGGGAGCGUAGAUGGGUUGUUAAGUCAGUUGUGAAAGUUUGCGGCUCAACCGUAAAAUUGCAAUUGAUACUGGCGGCCUUGAGUGCAGUUGAGGUAGGCGGAAUUCGUGGUGUAGCGGUGAAAUGCUUAGAUAUCGCGAAGAACUCCGAUUGCGAAGGCAGCUUACUAAACUGCCACUGACAUUGAUGCUCGAAAGUGUGGGUAGCAAACAGGAUUAGAUACCCCAGUAGUC
rnacentral:rRNA from 1 species